AUUAUAUCACCAGUAAGAGAAGGAACAAUAUGGCUACUUGAUGCUUCCCAUUCUUUUUAAUGGACAACCCACUACUGAUACUCCACUUCAAUUGGUCAUACUGUGAAUUAGCAUCCGCAUCGACCGGAUGGAGAGUCAAUCUUCGAUGAACUGGGGAUUCACUCUGCGGAAAUACAUUACUUCCAUCUGUUAAACUCUUGCAAUUACAGGGUACAUCCAUGUAGGGUUUUCCAGCCUUCCUGACUACUGAAGAUUCCACCACUGUCACUACCGGCAUAGCCACAGCGGUUAUUGGAGAUGUAGCAGUCAUAAUCAGAUCCACAACGGUUCAAAUCCGAAGAAAUCAACCUUAAGAACAGACAUGAAGCUUUGAACUCUCGAUUUAGAAUGCUGCUAUGUGGCUCAAUCAAUUCCUGUGAAAUCGAAAUGAAUUUCAUAUCUAUGUCCUUUAUACUGUAGCCUGUGUUGAAGGACUUAUUGAACCAUAUUAUCUAGCAGUCCUGUCUGAACGUUAACGUUACGCCGUUCCGGGGUAUAUAUCGAGGACGGUAUGCUGAGGGUUGUAUACAGAGUGUCAGUAUGUGACGAUACACAGUGCACCGUCCGUCAUCGUGAAUAUAAAGAUAACACAUGUUCUAAUAUGUUAUCAUCAUCUGAACAGAAACUGACGUUCUAUUUGAAUCUAAAUUAUAUUUAGACACGACGGAUUUGAAAUAAUUGGCUUAAACUUUCAUUUGUCAACUUUUAACAACGUUUGCUUAUCUACUUUUAAAUUUUGAAUGUUUA